GGGGUCGUAGCUCAGCUGGUAGAGCACCACAAUGGCAUUGUGGGGGUCAGGGGUUCGACUCCCCUCGGCUCCACCA
rnacentral:tRNA from 1 species